rnacentral:rRNA from 1 species
GAUGAACGCUGGCGGCGUGCCUAAUACACGCAAGUCGAGCGAACGGACGAGAAGCUUGCUUCUCUGAUGUUAGCGGCGGACGGGUGAGUAACACGUGGAUAACCUACCUAUAAGACUGGGAUAACUUCGGGAAACCGGAGCUAAUACCGGAUAAUAUUUUGAACCGCAUGGUUCAAAAGUGAAAGACGGUCUUGCUGUCACUUAUAGAUGGAUCCGCGCUGCAUUAGCUAGUUGGUAAGGUAACGGCUUACCAAGGCAACGAUGCAUAGCCGACCUGAGAGGGUGAUCGGCCACACUGGAACUGAGACACGGUCCAGACUCCUACGGGAGGCAGCAGUAGGGAAUCUUCCGCAAUGGGCGAAAGCCUGACGGAGCAACGCCGCGUGAGUGAUGAAGGUCUUCGGAUCGUAAAACUCUGUUAUUAGGGAAGAACAUAUGUGUAAGUAACUGUGAACAUCUUGACGGUACCUAAUCAGAAAGCCACGGCUAACUACGUG